rnacentral:rRNA from 1 species
GGGGAAUAUUGCACAAUGGGCGGAAGCCUGAUGCAGCAACGCCGCGUGAGUGAAGAAGGUUUUCGGAUUGUAAAGCUCUGUCAUCUGGGACGAUAAUGACGGUACCGGAUGAGGAAGCCACGGCUAACUACGUGCCAGCAGCCGCGGUAAUACGUAGGUGGCAAGCGUUGUCCGGAAUUACUGGGCGUAAAGGGUGCGCAGGCGGACAUUUAAGUGAGAUGUGAAAUACCCGGGCUUAACCCGGGCAGUGCAUUUCAAACUGGGUGUCUGGAGUGCAGGAGAGGAGAACGGAAUUCCUAGUGUAGCGGUGAAAUGCGUAGAGAUUAGGAAGAACACCAGUGGCGAAGGCGGUUCUCUGGACUGUAACUGACGCUGAGGCACGAAAGCGUGGGUAGCAAACA